GGUUGAAUUUUGAAUUUUGAAUUUUGAACCGGAUUUAAUUAUGAAAGAAUCUUGUUUUCUGAUGGCUAUCCUUAUUUUUUAAAUUGCAGAGGGAAUACACCGUUUUGCAGCAAAGAGUGUAGACAAGAACAGAUGGAGAUCGAUGAAGCCAGAGAAAAGAAAUUGAAAUCUGGACGAUCUCUUAGAAAAUCGGAUUCAAAGAGCUCUACACCCAACAAAACUGUUCGGACGGGCAUUGUUACGGUGUCGUAAUUACAUCUUUGCUUCUUCUUCUUUUUCUUUUUAUAAAUGAUAAUUGUAUCAUCAUCAAUUUUGAAAAAAAAAAACGAAAAAACAAGAUCGGGACAAGAAGGGAAAAAGAAAAAGGAAACCUUCAAUGGAAUUUUGUAUUUUCGUUUUAUUAUUGGGUAUGAUGUUUGAGAGGAGUGGAUGUUUAUAAGGGGGGGGGGAAUCGGAUGUGCAGUUUUCAUUAAUGGAAAAUGUGCAAAGAUUUAUAAUUUCUGGUAUUCUUGAAAAUUUUGAAGCAUUCAAGUUCCAAAGAUCCCUCUUUUAUUCCUUUCCGACCAAUCUGUAACAACGGGACUACGGGAGAUCAUACCAUUCGAUCUAACAUGUUGUCUCUUUCAUUAAGCAAAUGGAUAUAUAAUUUUUUAAGGGGUAUAAGGGUAAGAAGGGAGAAAAAAACCUGAUUGAUCAGUAUUUGCUUAAUUCAAUGAAUGUGGACAUGGGUGAACAGUAUAUUGAGUGUUGGGCAAUAGCUUUUAAGGGGGAAAAUCAUAUUUUACCGAUUUCCUGUAAAUUUCGGACCAGAGUUGGAGCUGGAAAGAACUUUUUGUUUUAUUCUGUACUGAAUGGACCCUCCCUGAUUGAAUCGUGUUGUUUCCAUGAUGGUUCGAAGGCAUCUCUUCUUUAGCAAAUUACAAAUGGAAUAAAUUAGCUUCAUUUUUCCAUAGCAAUAGACGAAAUUAAAUAUCGUCAAGAACUCAAGAAAAACACAACUUGUCGAGCAGAGAGAUGGAAAUAUUUUCUAGGCUCCCAAACAGAGGAGGAGGGCAUACAUGACACCUGCAAGCCAUUCUUCGUCUUUGUUCCGUUCUUCUAGUUCAAAUGAUUUGUUUUAUUUAUUUUUUUAAUAUCAAUAAUUGGCUUUCUGAGUCCAAAAAAUUGUGGCGAUUCAUCUUUGUUUAAUCAUCAUAAGCCCAAAACAUAGCCCAUUUAUACUCCAUGGAUAUAUGCUUUUGUCCUAAAAGAAAUUGUGACAAUGGAGAAAACCUGGAAAUAGGAAGUUAAUUAAUGGGACAUAAUAGAAAUUAUCGGUCAAGUUUUUGGUAGUCCCUGCACUACUCCAUAUGCACAUGCUAGUUGGAAUCUAAAUUCGUUAAUUGUUUGAAUUGAUUAAGUUGAAUCUAAAGUGGUUAUUUACGUAGUUUGAUUUCUUUAAACACAAUAAGUAAUUUCACUAUCUUUUGACCCACAAAAAUAAAAGUGAAUCACGCUUCACUCCUAGUAUAAAGACCUCACCUUUGUACUUAAAAAUUAAAACUCACCUCUAAACUUUUCUCUUGAGAAUUUAGAUUGUAAGCACAAUCUUUUUGCACUUCAAUUGCACUCAAAAGUACAUUCUUCAAUGAAUCAGAUAGUACAUAAAACUAUACAAGUUUCUCACAUAUAUAGAUGUUUAAGACUUGAUAAUAUACUAGAGAUCAAGUACAAUUCAAUCCUUAUUAAAUAGCAAAAUAUAAUAUAUUGAUAAACUGCAAUGUAAAGUAGAAUCCCUGGAGAUAUGUCUUCAAUGUAAUCCCAAUCUAAUCUCCAUAUUUUAAAGGAUUCGAUUGCUUAAUCCGAUUCAAUCAAAUCUUCAAAAAUUUGUUGCUCCACAAUAUGAAUCUUCAAAUAUGAGCCAAAUACACAUUGAAAAGAUUUCCAAUUCCAAAUAUGACAAGUUAUGUUGCCCAUCGAAGUGCUAGAUUGAAGUGGCCACUUCCACUAGUCUUUUGACAUCCACUUCAAAAACACUUGCCUCAACAAUAAAACAUCUAUCAAUGUUGAUCAAGCCUUCCAUAUUUUGAGCACAAUUGAUAAUUUUUGCUUCACAAGAUAAGUUUUAAUCUAUCUUGGUAUGCUUAAAUCUCAUCAAAUCAAUUAUAUUUAAUAUAAGGAUACACAAGAUUAUAAAGUCAACUUAUAUCUUCUUGGAUUGUAUAUCUCAGUGUACAAGGUAAGUAAAUAACAUAAGAAUCCUUGAAAAGUAAUCUUGCUUUAUUCAAUCUCUUCUCUAGUGAUAAACAUAAGAUUGGCUGCAUAAAAUCCUCAAAAAGAGAUAAACAAAUCAUCAAAAUAUUUUGAUCAAACAUGCCAACAAAUAAGACAAAUUAUAUGUUUCACGCAACUAUGAUGAAAAUGAUCAUUUCCAUCAACCACUUCAAAAAUUUACCUCAACAUAUAUAUAUAGAUAGAUUGAUAACCUUUUAAAAUUUAACAUCUAAAUACUAUAUUUUAAUUUUGAGAGUAAAAAUCUACCUUCCACCCAAUUUUGCCAUUAGUUGGUUACCCAUCAACAUUUAUAGUUUUUAUGAAUUUGGUGCUUAUUCUUUAAAAAUUAUGUAAAUAAAAUAAAAAAGGGUUCAUAUUUUUUUAUAAAAAUUAAAAGUUUAAAUUCUUAUGGGUUGCUUUUCAGAUGGAGACCAAUCAUCAAGCUGAUUGUUGAAAACCCAAAGUCCAUCUAUGGUAGCAAUACCAUAAAAUGGCUAUGAACUUGUGAAUGAAAGAAAAUAAGAAGCAAGCGAGUGAACAUGGAAUAGUGACACAAAGUCAUGUAUUUUUAGGCAUUUCACAUCUUCCAUGGUUGGAGAAUGAGGGUAUAAUGGCUUGGAAUGCGAAUAUGGUGUCGAUCGAAGUAGGUUCUCGAGGUUGGCUGAAAAUGAUAUAGGGCCUUGUAGGCGGAUUAUGGAAGAGCUGCUUCGGUGAUUGCCGUAGGUGAGCUAUUGAAGUAAACUUGUGUUAUGGGAUAAUUUUUUUUUUUUUUUGGUUAUGCCUUUUAUAUAUACAUCAAACGAAUUUUAAUUGGGCAUUGGCCGAAUGUAAGGCGGGCGAGCAGUGACUUUGACCCUAAUAAAAAAUAAAAUUGUCUUUUAAGUCUUAUUAAAAUUUUAAAAAAAUUAUAAAUUAAUAUAAUGAUAAAAAUAUAUUUUUAUCUCUAAAAAAUUUAUAAUUCAAAAUCGACCCUCUUGAAUUGAUGUUCUGGCUUCGCUGCUACUUUGAAGAUAAUUUUAGUGAAAUUUGAGUAUAAAUUUAUUAUUUCUUAAAAUUAUAUUUUUUAUUGAAAAUAUGAAGAUAUUUAAUUUUUUAUUUUUGGGUUAAUAUAUAUUUGCCUCCUGAACUAUGGUAGCCUCAUAUCAUGAUACAUGACAAGCCCUAACAAAAAAAUUUAAAAAUAUUUUACCUUUAAAAUGAAUCUGGACAUAUGAUUGUCCAAAUUCAUUUAACUUGGAUAACCAUUUGCUUAAAUUCAUUUUGAACAGAUUUUUUUAGUAAACUUUAUAUGUUUUUAAUUUUUUAUAUUAUUAUUUUGAAAUUAAAGAUACAUAAAAUAUAUAUUUUUAAAAAAUAUAUAAAUUUAUAACUUUUUUUAGGUGAAUAUGAACAAAUUAUUGUUCAGAUUUCAAUUUGUACAAGUACAAAAAUAAGAGACGGAGGGUCAGAAAGGAAUAAGAGGAUAAGCUAAUUAAGAGAGAGAAAUAAUUUGCUUAGAGUAAUUUUAAAGUUUUUAAGAGUUGGUCCAUUCAUCAUUGUUAAAGGAGUAUUUAUAGGAGAGGUUCUCUUGUCUACAAAUGUGAUGUGGUAGGAUAAAUAUUCAGUCCCACAAAAUGUGUAAAUGAUAUUCAUGGGCGUGAAGGAUGUGCACCAUGGGAUCCCAUUCUAUUAUGCAUUCAAUCAAUACGAGUUUAUUACGCCUAAAAGUGCGUGCCUUAGAAACGGCUCAUCAUAUUAUCAAUGAGUGAGAGAUUUGUCAGGAGUACUUGUCUAAUAGAUGAUCUUGAUAAUGAAAGGAUAUUCAAAUUCCUAUUGACUUAUUUCCAAUAUUUUAUCAUAACGCUUAUUUUGUAAUAGAAACAAUCCAUCUAGAAUACCCGCCUUGACCAAACCGUCUAGUGAUUUUUGAGUGUAACAUUAGCUUGUAGACAAAUUUUUUGUAGUUGAGUUCAUUGAACCGUAAUAAAUGCACGCUCGUAAAUAUAUGAAAUAAUGUAGAGAAGAGAAUCUUUUGGUGAUUAAAAUACUUAAAAAUAAUAUUGAUGGGUGACGUAAACCACAUUUAAGUAAUUGAAAAACAAUGUUGCUUACGAGACACACGCACAUCCAACCAUUCACCCUUCUUCACCAUUAUUUUUAAUUUGAUUUGAUUCUUAUGCAUAAUCAACAGACCGUGACACAAAAUCACCCACUUUUAUUAGUAUAUUUAUAAAAACAACUUCGGCAGAAAGUAAAAAAGAUAAAACCAAACCGCUUUGAUCUAACACCUCUCCCAUUUGUUUGGGCUACAUAGUCUUACUGUAGUCCCUGUACUACCUGAGUGCACCAACUCAGAAUCCUAGCUAUCACCUCCGUUUGCUUUAUAUAUAGCUGCCAAGCUUUAACGCCCAUCAAACUCACUCUUUUAUUCUCUUCCACCCUUUUUCAGCUACCAGCGCCGCCCUCAGCUCCGGCCAUACUUUACGAAAUUCAACAAGUAGCAAGCAGUUAAUAUGUCGGGUUAUUAUUAUCACUCAGGGUGCCCAGAUCAGUACGGGGCUCACUAUCUGGAUGCCUGCUCCGUUUGCGGCAAAUCGCUUCAUAAUUCCGAUAUUUUCAUGUACAGGUUGGUUUGCUCUUUAGUAUUGAUUUUAAAAUUCGAAUCGUGUUUGAGUAUGAAAUAAUUUUGUUUCCUGAUGGGUAUUUUUUAAAUUGCAGAGGGAAUACACCGUUUUGCAGCAAAGAGUGUAGACAAGAACAGAUGGAGAUGGAUGAAGCCAGAGAAAAGAAGUUGAAAUUUGGUAGAUCACAUAGGAAAUCGGAUUCCAAGACCUCUACACCCAACAAAACUGUUCGGAC
rnacentral:lncRNA from 1 species